rnacentral:lncRNA from 1 species
CAUUGUUUUCUGUCGAUUACUAUUGAUUUAUUGUACAGUCUAAAAGUAUGAUGAUAUUUGAUUUGUAUAUUAUAUCGUUUAAAUGCGUGUAUUACUGUCUUACUUGACUACUAUUUGAUUUUGGGAAUCUAAGAUAUGAUUGCAUUGUUGGAUGCACGUUACUUGUUUAUGUAUUUAUGUUUGAUUUGGUGACGGAGACUAAGGACAAAUAGGAAUGGGAUGUGAUCUGAUAAAUGGAUAAGAUGACAGUCUCACUAGAUAUCCUUGGAGAUGGUGGAUGGACCGGGUUCAUAGGGAACCCUACCGUGAACGUUGUCUCAUACCGGACGGGGUAUGGAGACUUGGUCAUUUGGCACUCAUACAGGACGCUGUAUGGGGAC